AAUAAAAUGAGUCUUCAAUGGCUACCCCACCAAUUACUACUUGACACCCCAACUUUUCUAAAAGUAGAUGCGUCUUUGUUACCUCGGUUCCAUUCAAUUGACCAAAAUGCGCAGGGAAAGGAUACUCUGUAAUAUAGGCAGGCAUCUAUAACAAGGACGACUCGUAUCAUUAUUAGAAGACCGGAGAUCAAGUCAUAAUAUGGAUUUUUUUUACGAGGAAACAUUCUAUAUGGAUUUAGGGCUUUAUUUGAAACAAUUGGUGCUUUAUGGAGUAAACUAGGCUGCUAGAGAGGCCAGACAAGGCAGAGAGAGUAGAACUUAUUAACUUUAUGGGACGAGAGCUGCCGCAAGCACCCAACUCAGCACCAAAGUUCUUGCAGCAGAACAAAGGUCUGAAUCCGUUUUCCCUCCAAAUUUCUCUUAUUUCGUACUUUCCACAACACCCGUAUACUACAGCUUAUGGAAUGAAGCUUCACACAACUUUUCCUGCAGGUGAUAAGCCAAGUGGGGACCACGACCAAGCUAUCUAUUAGGGAAAACCCAUGCCCAACCUUCAUUUUGAGUAAGGGAAGACCAAACUUCGUUACAAUAUGAUGAUACA